CGAAAGCCAAAAAAAAAGCAAGCCUUCGUGUGCCUUCGGUCCGGCAAUUCUCCUUCGGCUUUGUAUUCACGUCUCGACAGAUGACGUGUCGCCAGAUUGGUGGUCGAAAAGUCAUUCGGGUUUUUCUUUUUUUACAUGUGUCGAGCAUUAGAAACAAGUGCAAAUAAAGCGUGCGUUCCUUGCGCCGUCAUUUCAAUUAUUUUCGUCGAACUGUGCAGUGCUAAGUUAAAAAUCUCUACCAUCUCUUACGCAUUUAAAAGAAAUUUCUGCCAAUCGAUGCAUUUAAACAGAAGUUUGCGCUCGACGAUCAGGAUUUCGACCAUACAACU